AUCUGUAUUUACUUUGUGGUCUUCAGAAGCUGCAUGGAACAAUCUGGGCUCCACUCCAACCAGUUCCAGGGCAAGCCUUCUCCACAGGCUACACUUUUGCUUACAUUUACUUGGGAACUGAAGAUGAUGAGUGAACGCCUGUAUGCUGUCACCACAGAUGUCGAAACUGAGAAUGAUUUUUCCACACACAGCUGUAGAUACACCAAAGGCCCAGCAUCUACACUCAAAAUUUAGGUUGGAUCUCUCUUGAAACAAAGGAAAAUCAUUGCUGUUCAACAUUGAUGAUAUUCACUGAGAAGAUCCACUGGUCCUGCCUCCUGUCAACUCCAAGUUUAAACCACAGAUUGUGAGGCUUUCUAACCUCAAAUAUUAAAGAUACUCAGCAGUGAUGUAAAAUAAAGAAGGCUUUAAAAAUAACAUUUUUAAAACAGCCUGCUGAAAGAAGCUGCAAAAUGCAACCGAUGUAAAGGAAACUUUCAGCAAUGAUUUUUUUUAUUUUAAAAGAAUACCUUUGUACCACAAGAUAUCAUAUAUAAUAUAUUACAAAAGAUUUACUUCAAAUUUCUUUAAAAUAAAAUUAAUCAUAGUGUAUGAACUUGCACUGAGCCUAGGGUUGGGCUAAGGAUGCUAAAGGAUUUCACUCA